CGGUGCAGUCAAUAAAGCUGUUUUACUGAGAUCUCAAAGUUACGCAGAGUUCCCUCGAAGUGGUCGAGUGACUCAUCCGUAUCGAUGCAUUUUGGAGACCCUUUUCAUAGCAGAGAUGCUUAAAUGCACACCAAAAGUCAACUGAACAUCUCUCAGAUGAGGCAUUUGAUAAAAAGAAUACAUCACAACCUCCAGUGGACACUCAUGUUACUACACCCUGAACAUCCAAUCAAACAGCACCUCAGGAAUCCACUGAAAUUUACACCAAAGGAGGAAGAGUUGAGCCUAUAGUCUUAAGAAUGAGGAUUCGGGCUUAAAGCCGCUUACCGAUGCAUUCCUACAACUGUAAAAUAAACCCUCUGCAAUUCUUAAAAAAAUAUCUCGU
ensembl:lncRNA